rnacentral:rRNA from 1 species
ACGGAAGGCAGCAGUGGGGAAUAUUGCACAAUGGGCGAAGCCUGAUGCAGCGACGCCGCGUGAAGGAUGAAGUAUUUCGGUAUGUAAACUUCUAUCAGCAGGGAAGAAAAUGACGGUACCUGACUAAGAAGCCCCGGCUAACUACGUGCCAGCAGCCGCGGUAAUACGUAGGGGGCAAGCGUUAUCCGGAUUUACUGGGUGUAAAGGGAGCGUAGACGGUAUGGCAAGUCUGAAGUGAAAGCCCGGGGCUCAACCCCGGGACUGCUUUGGAAACUGUUAAACUAGAGUGUCGGAGAGGCAAGUGGAAUUCCUAGUGUAGCGGUGAAAUGCGUAGAUAUUAGGAGGAACACCAGUGGCGAAGGCGGCUUGCUGGACGAUGACUGACGUUGAGGCUCGAAAGCGUGGGGAGCAAACAGGAUUAGAUACCCUGGUA